ACUAAAUUCUUAUUCCAAAACUCCCUUUCCCUUUCCCUUCCCCUUCCCCUUUCCAUAGCUCAUCAUGUUUCUUUCUCUCUUAACCCAUACCACUUCUUCAUCUAUGGAUUCACUUACACUCUUCAAUUAUAUAUACUCAACAUUAUAUUCACUAAAAAUAUCUAACAUCAAAAUCCCAUAACACAUAAUUUCAAGUCUUUAAUGGGGACUGGCAAGCAAAGAUGGAGAAUAAUCUCCUUCAACAAAUAUCCAUUAAAACACCACCCACCAUAUCCUAAAGAAUUCAUCUGUCCAAUAUCUAAGUCUCUCAUGGCUGACCCAAUAAUAAUCUCUUCUGGUCAUACUUUCGAACGUAACUGUGUUCAUGCAUGCAAAUCACUCUCUUUUACACCUAUAUUACCUGAUGGUUCUUUACCAAAUUUCUCCACUAUUAUCCCUAAUAAGGCCCUUAAAUCUACCAUUUUCAACUGGUGUUCUUCUUCACAUAUUGAUCCUCCUCAACCUCUCGAUUUCCUCUCUGCUCAAAAUCUCGUCCGUUCAUUAAUGGCUGCCCAAAACCCACAAAAAUUUCGUGAACAGAUGCAUAGUAGCAAGAAUUGUGAUGUGAUGAACCGGUUUAUUGAGUCUGUGACACAGUUAAAUAGUGUGUCGAGUCACAUAUCAGGGAGGAGUUAUCACCACCAGUCCAGCAGACCCGUUCAUGCAGCUAUGCAGGCGUCCCAGGGGGAUUAUUCUGGGCACGGUACUACGUACAGUUCGGGACAGGCUACCCAUGGUUCAUAUUCCAGGCAUUCAGACUAUUCGUGUUCUAUGAGUUCUGAGGAAUCUGUGGGUCCUACCAGUGGAUCAGCAACUCCUUUACCUCUACCGACCCGACCCUUCUGUUGCUCUUCAUCAUCAUCCUCGGAAAUGGAGACGAUAAACCAUAAUUCAUGUGAAGAAGAUGAACUUAUCGUUAAACUGAAGAGCUCACAAGUGUUUGAACAAGAAGAAGCUGUCAUUUCACUUCGAAAGUUGACCCGAACCCGAGAAGAAACUCGUUUCCAUCUCUGUACUCUGCGUUUAUUGUCAGCUCUUCGUUGUACCAUCACCUCGAGAUAUGCUUCCGUACAGGUGAAUUCCGUAGCAGCUUUAGUGAACAUUUCGUUAGAAAAUCGAAACAAGGUGAAGAUUGUAAGGUCUGGAAUUGUUCCCCCUUUAAUUGAUGUGUUAAAAGGAGGAUUCCCUGAAUCACAAGAACAUGCUGCAGGUGCACUUUUUAGUUUGGCAUUAGAUGAUCAAAACAAGACUGCCAUUGGGGUUUUGGGUGCAUUGCCACCUCUUCUUCACUCGCUCCGUUCGGAGUCCGAACGGACAAGGCAUGAUUCAGCUUUGGCUCUGUAUUAUCUUUCAUUGGUUCAGAGUAACCGUGCUAAGUUGGUUAAACUUGGCGCGGUUCAGUUACUAUUAGGCAUGGUGAGAAGUAUGGGUCCUAUGACGGGUCGAAUUCUGUUAAUACUGUGUAACAUGGCAGGUAGUUUAGAGGGGAGAGGAGCUCUGCUUGAUGGGGGUGCAGUGGAGUGUUUUGUCGGUAUGUUGAGAAAGGGAGAGUUUGAUGGAGAGUCGAAUAUUCGGCAGAGUUGUGUUACUGCAUUAUAUGGACUAAGUCAUGGUGGACUUAGGUUUAAAGGGUUGGCAAAGGAGGCUGCUGCAGAGGAAUUGUUGAUAACAAUUGAGGAAAUGGGAAGCAAGCGGGCAAAGGAUAAGGUCAAGAGGAUAUUGGAGGUGUUGAGGGAGAAAGAUGAAGAAGAGGAGGAAGUUGAUUGGGAGGAGUUGCUUAAUUCUGAUGAAGAUACAAAUUCUCCAUAGCUUUUGUUUCCUUAAUUGGGUGAUGACUUGGGUGUUUUUUCUGGACAUGAAAUUGUAAUUAGGCAAGAUUUGUAUGCACAUAGUGGGUUUUAGUUUUGCUUGUGGUGUCUUUUGAAACAAUUCGUCGAUUGACAAAGUAAAUAACAGUUUCUUGAAUGUUCAAAGUGUAAAGAAAAUAUUUUGAACAGUGUGUUAUAGUUUGGGAAAAUGUUUGUAACAUGAGCCCAUCGUCUUCUACUAUUGUUUGGCCAUCCUUGAUACCAGAUAAUGUUCUUCAUAUCUUGUGUGAAUGGUGCUUAUUCUGUGAACCUGCUGUGGUUUAUCUCUGCUCUUCUUUGUUAUGCUUGAUGUUGAGUUUAUCAGCUAUAUCUGGUCCUGAAAAGUUAGAAAAUGCAAUGCUCCUCUCUUUGUUAGUUUCUUGAAAGGUCUGUAAUAGUACAUGUUUACUGCUAAUGCCUAACCAGAGGCAAAUGAACUGACUUUUGCGAGUGUUAGCUUCAAUCAUCUUGGUGGUUCAACGAUGAAAGAAAGAAAGAAAAACAAAGCAUUCCCACUAUCUAGCUACUUCAAAGGAGUAUUUCUUCUUUAAGCAGAGCCGAUUUGUCGGUGGUUGUUACUAGAAAUUUGAAGUCACGCGGAGAUGCUGAAUUUUUGGUACUUCUAUGGAGAGUGUGCAAAAAUCGCGGCCGAACUUUGGUGUCCGAGUUACCUACAUCUCUUGCCCGCUGUAACUGCAAAUUAAUAAUGGAGCUGACUUCUCGCGGAGGAUGCUACUUGGAGUCAUCAACUGGUAUAAAAGGGAAGUUAUCCAGGGGCUUGACUGUAGGAUGUUCUAGGCUAUCAGCUGGAUUGAUAAACUCCAUUCGGUUCGAAGUGAUGCCGCGUCGGAGUAUUCCCGUAUGAGCUAAGUCAUUUACAUUAUGGGUAUGUUGGGGUCCUAUCCCUACUUAGGUUUUGAUGUCAUAUCUUACAUUAGAGACUUUAGCAGACAGAGUCAUGUAUACAGUACGUCAGCCUUGUAAGUAGCUAUGUAAGCCGAUGUAUCAUUAUGCAUUACAUUACAGAUUUCACUUGAUUUGAGAAAGACAGAAAGAAUGUUUUUGAAAAGCUUU